rnacentral:rRNA from 1 species
UGGGGAAUUUUGCACAAUGGAGGAAACUCUGAUGCAGCGACGCCGCGUGAGUGAUGAAGAUCUUCGGAUUGUAAAACUCUGUCCUUAGUGAAGAUAAUGACAGUAACUAAGAAGCAAGCCCUGGCUAAAUACGUGCCAGCAGCCGCGGUAAUACGUAUGGGGCAAGCGUUGUCCGGAAUUAUUGGGCGUAAAGGGUACGUAGGCGGUUUAAUAAGUCCUAAUUAAAAGGCUAUGGCUCAACCAUAGUAUGGUUAGGAAACUGUUGAACUUUAGUAGAUGAGGGGAAAGUGGAAUUCCAUGUGUAGCGGUGAAAUGCGUAGAUAUAUGGAGGAACACCAAUGGCGAAGGCAACUUUCUGGAAUCAAACUGACGCUGAGGUACGAAGGCGUGGGGAGCAAACAGG